rnacentral:sRNA from 12 species
UUCGCCAACUAAUGGGCAGCUAAUCUUUUUUCACUCAAUCGCAGAACUAAAACUGCGUAAGUGGUGAAGUGUUUCAAGAAACAUUUGGUGCUGCUUAUGUGACUCAACAAGUGCGUUCAGUCUGCAAAACACAUAAGGUAAACAAAUUUAGGCAAGAACUGAUAGGACAGCACUCCUGUCAGUUUUUU